GAAGAGUUAGGAGUUCAGGAACAACGCAUUUGUGCUCUCCUUGGUGAGUAGAUUCAGAUUUAUGGCGCAAUAUUAGUGCCAAAAUUAGAGUAUAUACGUAUUUGUAUCUAGGGGGUACUCUUUUUGUAAACUGGUAUAGAAAAUAAACAUUCAGGGGUACACUUUUUAUCACUUGGGGGUACUCUUAUCAGUUUAGGUACACAAAUAAUUCUUUUGAGGGUACCUACUCUUCCAUAUUAUAAUGACCUGAAGAGUAUGUGUGGUACGUUGGUCUGUUUGUUACCCGAGGCGCGUGGGCGGCCACGGGUAUAGUAGUCUGUUGGUUUGUUUGUUAACCCGAGGCGCGUGGGCGGCCACGGGUUAUAGUAGUCUGUCUGUUUGUCUGUUUGUUUCUUUGUUAACCCGAGGCGCGUGGGCGGCCACGGGUUAUAGUAGUCUGUCUGUUUGUCUGUUUGUUACCCGAGGCCGUGCCGCGGCCAGCGGGUAUAGUAGUCUGUUGGUUUGUUACCCGAGGCGCGCGUGGGCGGCCACGGGUAUAGUAGUCUGUUGGUUUGUUUGUUUGUUUGUUUGUUUGUCUGUUUGUCACUAGUAUAUCUACUCACCUGGAUGCCAUAGCGCUGCGUUUGCAGCAUAGGUAGCCUUCACAUAACAAUAUCUUGGUUUAAAUAGUGGCAGAUUUUGAUGUUAAAGCUUCUUUGUCGAGCAAAAGCUAAGAAGCUUGAAUAAGCUUGUGACUAGGUCUGCUUACCUGGAUGUUCUAGCACUGCGUUUACAGCAUGAGUAGCCUCCACACAACAAGUUAGUACUUUUGAUAGUGGCAGCUUUCGGUGUUAAAGCUUCUUUGUCUAAUAAAAGCGAGCAAAAUGUAGCUUGAACAGAACUUGCACAUGCGUUACUUAUAACUGAAGUGAUCCUGUACCAAGAACGAUGGAACAGGGUCACUACAGUAGAAAGCUGUAUAUACCAGGAACAAUGGAAGAGGGUCACUAGUAGAAGCUUGAAUAUAGCUCCUGCUGCUGACUGGGAUCCUACUCCAUGCAGAACCUGGAGCCAUACUUCUCUGAGACUCCAGGCUUCUUUACUGUGAUCCUAAUCCACAGUGCAUAUAUCUAUAGUACCACUACCUGUUCUCAAAUGUUCUGAGUUGCUGUGCAAGUCAUACAUGAUAACAACAUCACUAUAUGCACUGCAUUAUAUUUCUGGUUUCUUUAUAAUCAUGUCACCAGCCGAGGGUUUGCACUUUAGUGCUCUAGUUUGUUUGUUUGUUUGUUUGUGAUGGGGUUUUCUACUCACCUGGAUGCCAUAGCGCUGCGUUUGCAGCAUAGAUAGCCUUCACACAACAAUAUCUUGAUUUAAAUAGUGGCAGAUUUUGAUGUUAAAGUUUCUUUGUCGAAUAAAAGCGAGCAAAAGCUAAACUUGCCCGUUGGCAGCUGCUAACUACACGCGGCCUUUAUUCGAGAUACCCUAUGUUACAUAUGUGAUUUUUUCCACAUGGGUUACUUACAGCUGACGUGAUCCUGUACCAGAAACAAUGGAACAGGGUCACUAAAGUAGAAAGCUAGAAUUACUGCCUCUGCUGACUAGGUAUUUGCAGCUGAAGUGAUCCCGUAACAUGAAUAAGGGCCAAGAAAGUAGAAUUGUGACUGGUUGUUGACUGACUCUGGAUCCUAUACUCUAGCCUGGAAGGAGCCAUACUUCUCUUAGUCUAAGACUCCAGGCUUCUUUGCUGUGAUCCCAGUCCACAGUGCAUGUCUCAUGUGACAUACUCAAUGUUUCAGCAUCCCUACAGUCUGGUUUAGUUUUAUUGCUCUUGAGUUGCUGUGCUAGUCAUACAUGCACUGCAUUAAUCACUCUUCUGGUUUCUUUAUUAUCAUGUCACCAGCCGAGGGUUUGCACUUUAGUGCUCUAGUUUGUUUGUUUGUUUGUUUGUAACGAGUAUAUCUACUCACCUGGAUGCCAUAGCACUGCAUUUACAGCAUAGAUAGUCUUCACACAACAAUAUCUUGGUUUAAAUAGUGGCAGAUUUUGAUGUUAAAGCUUCUUUGUCGAGUAAAAGCGAGCAAAAGCUAAGAAGCUUAAACUUGCCACGUGGCCUUGAGUCAAGGUACGGGAUCACUUCAGCUGAAAAUACGUAGUCAAGGCUUGAUUACGUAUUUUCAGCUGAAGUGAUCCCGUACCAGGAACAAUUGAUAGUUUUGUCAUGCGCACUAUGAGCAUAACCAAGCCCAUCCACGUGGUUUUAAUCAUUAUUGAAGACCUGUGAAAGCCUGAAUUACAAGGACAGAUCAGACUAGACUUCUUGGACCGAAGAUAUCAAUAUGCCCUUCUCUAAACCUUGUCCCCAAUGUGGGGAUGAGGUCCACAUCAGGACACUGAGGUGUCCAAAUUGCGACCAUGUUCUGCGGAAUAUCUCGGGAUGAUCAUGCUCAGUUCCAGGCAAAUCGAAAGAAAAAUCUGUAAUUGUGUCUUGACCAUUAAAUGAAACGGAUGCUAGUUUUGCAACACUCAGCAAAGACAACUCAUCUACAGCAUCAUUGUCAGCCGCUCCGACCAACUUUCGCAGUAUGAAAGCAUUUGCAGUCAAGGUAACAUUCUCUCCAUCAUCGACCUUGAAAAUGAGCCUUGCUAACAGAGAACUACUGCAAUUGUCAUACCUCUGAGCAACUUCACAACUUAAACAGCGUCCAUGGAUUGGCGGGCUACCAGGACCAGGCUCAACGUAACCAUUGCAC